rnacentral:rRNA from 1 species
GACGAACGCUGCGGCGUGCUUAACACAUGCAAGUCGAGCGAUGAAGCCGGAGCUUGCUCUGGUGAAUUAGUGGCGAACGGGUGAGUAACACGUGAGUAACCUGCCCUUGACUCUGGGAUAACUGCGGGAAACCGUAGCUAAUACCGGAUACGACCCUCGGAGGCAUCUCCUGGGGGUGGAAAGAAUUUCGGUCAAGGAUGGACUCGCGGCCUAUCAGCUAGUUGGUGAGGUAAAGGCUCACCAAGGCGACGACGGGUAGCCGGCCUGAGAGGGUGACCGGCCACACUGGGACUGAGACACGGCCCAGACUCCUACGGGAGGCAGCAGUGGGGAAUAUUGCACAAUGGGCGCAAGCCUGAUGCAGCAACGCCGCGUGAGGGAUGACGGCCUUCGGGUUGUAAACCUCUUUUAGCAGGGAAGAAGCGAAAGUGACGGUACCUGCAGAAAGAGCACCGGCUAACUACGUGCCAGCAGCCGCAGUAA